GAGGGUAUAGCUCAGUAGUAGAGUGCUUGCUUAGCAUGCAUGAGGUCCUGGGUUCAAUCCCCAGUAUUGCCA
rnacentral:tRNA from 1 species